UUCCGGUUGAUCCCGCCGGACCUGACUGCUAUCGGAUUGAUACUAAGCCAUGUUAGUCUUUGUAGUAAUACAAGGCAGACGGCUCAGUAACGCGUAGUCAACCUAACCUAUGGACAGGGAUAACUUCGGGAAACUGAGGAUAAUACCUGAUAGGUCAUUAUGCCUGGAAUGGUUUAUGGCCCAAAUGAAUUUCGCCGUAGGAUGGGACUGCGAGCUAUCAGCUUGUUGGUGAGGUAAUGGCCCACCAAGGCGAUUACAGCUACGGGCUCUGAGAGGAGUAGCCCGGAGAUGGGUACUGAGACAAGGACCCAGGCCCUAUGGGGCGCAGCAGGCGAGAAAACUUUGCAAUGCGCGAAAGCUCGACAAGGUUAAUCCGAGUGAUUUCUGCUAAAGGAAUCUUUUGUUAGUCGUAAAACCACUAAAGAAUAAGGGGUGGGCAAGUUCUGGUGUCAGCCGCCGCGGUAAAACCAGCACCUCAAGUGGUCAGGAUGAUUAUUGGGCCUAAAGCAUCCGUAGCCUGUUCUACAAGUCUUCGGUUAAAUCCACCAACUCAAGUGAUGGGCUGCCGAAGAUACUGCAGAACUAGGGAGUGGGAGAGGUAGACGGUACUCGGUAGGAAGGGGUAAAAUCCUUUGAUCUAUUGAUGACCACCUGUGGCGA
rnacentral:rRNA from 1 species